GUAACAUUUUUAUAUAUCAGUUAAGGAAACAUUUAAAUUAAAACAAUAAUCCUAAUACUAAAAAGAAGAAAUAAUUAAAUAUUUUGCAUCCUGUGUGUGAGAACAAUGUAUUUUUUUAAAUUUAUGACUUUGGUACUUCAUCUAAGUAAGAGUGGGGCUUUCUUCAGUAAGUUAUAGGUGUGAAACACGAAACUUGAUGAACGAUUUUGUUCCUAAAAAUUUAUGAUCCGUUGUUCUACUUGAAAACAUAGUAACACGUAGGUACAUUUUGGGGUUUUUUUGUUGUUUUUUGGUACCAGGGAUUGAACUCAGGACCUUGCGCUUUCGAGGCAGGAGGAGGCACCACUGAGCUAAAUCCCUGGCCCACAGAUUUAGCGAGGUCUGGAGCUACUGGUGUGGAAUGGGACAUAAGAACUGUGAGCCUCGGACAGCAGCCCUUUACCAGGUAUUUGGAGGUUGACCUGGACUUAGCUGUGUUAAGCUGCCUGCACCACAGGAAACCACCUCCCUCGCUGCUGCUUGCUGCUUUCUCUUUAGCCAACACCCAAAGCCACUGCCAGUGUCAGGGAGAUGAGACUUCACAGGUGUCAUAAAUGAUGGUGAAAGAAGAUCUCAUAGCCACUUGAUUUUGGAGUCUAAUGCAGUACAAGUUUGCUAGUGACAAGAAAAGCCAAUAGUGAAGCAAACUGGGAUUAUUAAGUUUCAGUCUAGAGAUUUUCCAUUGAUGGGACAGAAUGGUUAGUUUACCG
rnacentral:lncRNA from 1 species